UUUAAAGCAGCAUGCAACACAGAUCAUUAAAGCAUUCUAUAUUCUUUUUAUUUAACAGAAUAUCAGCAAUUAGCUUUUCCAGCUAAUUACUGGAUUCUACAACUGACUCUUCAAAAAGCUAUGAGGUUUAAGGCCUUUAUGUCAAGCUCUGGGUAAAGAGUUCCACAUGCCAAGAGGAGAAGCACCGUAUUCAGUUCAGGUCACUGUUUCUUCUCUUCAGCAAGGGAAAUGGAUCUGCAGCUCAUCUCUGGCUGUAGGUGAACAUUUAUAUCUGUUUGAAAUGCUCCUUCCCCGCAAAGAUGCUGGAUACCCACCUCCACGACUGGAAUGGAAAGAAGAGAUUUUGGGUCACAAUACGAACCUACACUUAUUCUCAGCUGGUAAAAAAACGUAGCCCAUGUUUCUUCCUAGCAAAAAUCUGGCUCUACCUCAACUACAGCAGUCACA
rnacentral:lncRNA from 14 species